UACGUAGGGUGCGAGCGUUGUCCGGAAUUAUUGGGCGUAAAGAGCUCGUAGGCGGCUUGUUGCGUCAGCUGUGAAAACCCGCAGCUCAACUGUGGGCUUGCAGCUGAUACGGGCAGGCUUGAGUUCGGUAGGGGAGACUGGAAUCCCUGGUGUAGCGGUGAAAUGCGCAGAUAUCAGGAGGAACACCGGUGGCGAAGGCGGGUCUCUGGGCCGAUACUGACGCUGAGGAGCGAAAGCGUGGGGAGCGAACAGG
rnacentral:rRNA from 1 species